CCCCCCUCUUCCCAUAAAAAACGCGAUUUUGGUUUAGGACAUGAGAGAGAGAGAGCAUUUGAAUUAUUAUAAAAUAGGAACUACUGGUAGUAGGAAUUUAUAUGAAUUUAUGAUAUGAGAGAAAAAUAAUAGGCCAUGCCAAUUGCCAAAUAUGAAGAAGAGACUGAGUCAAUUCCCACCGUCUCCCAUCCAUCCUCCUCCUCCUUCGAACCCCUAAUUUACAGAACGAACCGCUAUUACUAAUUGUGAGCCAUCCUCCAAUUAUUCUUCAGAUCUGCUACCUACCAGUCUCUCAAACCAUAAUUGAUUAGACUUUUGCUUCUUCUAUUAGCUCGAUUCGAAGCCUGAGUGGGUGGUUUUGGUUUGCUUUUGACCGCUAUUUAGGGCUUAGGGCUAGGGAUAGAGUUUUAGAAUGGAGGGGAAUUCGGGUGAUGGGAGUGGGGGUGGUGGUGGUGGUGGUGGUGGUGGUGGUGGGAUGAUAGGAGGAGGGAUAGGGAAUGACGUGGAGCUGCUGUGUAAAACGCUGCAGGUGGAGCACAAGCUCUUCUACUUCGAUCUCAAGGAGAACCCUCGGGGCCGCUAUCUCAAGAUCUCCGAGAAGACCUCUGCCACCAGGUCUACCAUCAUCGUCCCCUUCUCCGGCAUUUCCUGGUUCUUGGAUCUUUUCAAUUACUAUGUCAAUUCCGAUGAUCAGGACGUCUUCAGUAAGGAAUUGCAGCUCGACACCAAGGUGUUUUACUUCGACAUUGGCGAAAAUCGGAGGGGUCGCUUCUUGAAGGUAUCCGAAGCUUCGGUUAGUAGAAAUCGUAGUACAAUCAUUGUUCCGGCAGGAAGCUCCAGGGAUGAAGGAUGGGCAGCAUUUAGAAACAUUUUAGCAGAGAUAAAUGAAGCAUCAAGGCUUUUCAUAUUGCCCAAUCAGCCAAGUUCUGAACCUUCGGAACGCCUUGGGCUUUCAGAUGAUGUAGGUGCUGGCUUCAUCUCUGGCCACAGUAGUCAACCUGCCCCAAGUUCUGAAUUGAAUGUCGACAGGACUGUUGAAUUGCCAGCGCAGGAUGAAAUUGGUAGCAUGGGGGCUUCAAAAGUAAUUAGAGCUGAUCAGAAAAGAUUCUUCUUUGAUCUUGGAAGCAAUAACAGAGGCCAUUUCCUAAGGAUAUCUGAGGUUGCAGGUUCUGAUAGGUCCUCCAUCAUUCUCCCCCUGUCAGGUUUGAAGCAGUUCCAUGAAAUUGUGGGUCACUUUGUGGAGAUUACCAAAGACCGAAUUGAAGGAAUGACCGGAGCAAAUGUUCGGACAGUGGAUCCCCCUCAAAGAUGAAUGCUAGCCUGGGUUUUGGCGAUAAAACAAAUGAACCCAUUUGUUUUUUUAGAGCAACAAUUAGGUGUUUGGUUAGGGGUGCGGUUAUGCUUUCAGUUGUGCAGAUUGCAAGGACGUCAGUCGUCAGCUAAGAGGCCUUGGGAUUGUACUGUAGGGAACCCAAGCGAAGAGGUAAACAACAUAUGCAUGGGUAUACCAUCCAACCUCAGUGUUGGUUUGAGGGGAUUUGGAAAUCCUGGAGAUGGAUUAUCAAUGGAACCGCCAAGUUUCAGGUCUGAGGGCUAUGCUACUCCAUUGGCAACAUUGUACAGUUGAUUAAUUUCCAUUGUAACUUCUCGUAAUACCCCGGGCAUACAUCCAUACACACUGUGUUUGCCCGACGUUCCAUUUAGUGAUCCUUUAUUUAUUGGGAAAAGCUCCUAGUUCGGGUGGACCUUCAAACUACUACAUAAUUGUUAAUGUUCUCUCAAAUUAUUGAUUACGUCAAUGUUCA